rnacentral:lncRNA from 1 species
CAUUGUCCAACCUAUUGGUUAAGAAAUCAUUUUUACCCAGUAUUGCAAAAAAUUAUCUUUGUAUAUGGGAAUGCAAUCUUACACUUUAUUGUUCACAUUAGUGUUUCUAGCUCAGCAUGAAACAGUGAGAGAUUACUUAGUAUAUUUUUCACCUCAUCCAGACAUCUUAUCCUUCUUGACUGAUAUACCAUCCUAGCCCAAAAACCACUGUAUGCUUUCCGAAAGUACACUCUUGAAUAAAUAAUCCAUAUAUGAAAAAAUUAAUGACAUAUAAAACACAUAUGUAUUUUGCAUCUAGCCAUUAAUUCAUCCUCUCGACGCUCUCUUCUUCAACUUACAACCACAGAUCUCUGUUUCUCCGGUGACCGGCGCGUGGCGGCUCCGUUAGCGCCACCGCCGGUCCCGUUAGUUUCCUCUUCUUUGUUUUGUGUAGAUCCCUUAUUUAAUUUGUCUUAGGUUUCGUAUCUGGUUAAGCGGAGGGUGCUGUUUCGUCGAGCUCGUGUCGGGUCACGGUCUCUGUGGAGGUCGUGUGGCUAGUUGGUCAUGCCAGCUGCCGGUGAAGCUUGGUGGUUCCGUUUCGAGUCGUCUCUCGGGUCCCUGCCUUUUGUGGGUUGAAGUAACGAUUGGUCCUUAACGUUUUGUUUUUGUGACAAUGUUGGGUUUGUUUGAUGGUAUUGGUCUUUACGGCUGUUGUCGUAUGUUUAGCAUGGGCUUGUUUAUGGUGGGAUAAGCUUGGUUUUCGAUGUCUCUAUUCUUGGGGUUAACAAUUGACUUAGCAGAUUGGGUUUCAACUGGUGGUGGGUACAAUGAGUGCUUCUCUUCGUUUCUUUUUCCGUGAGUGAGUGACUCCGGAGAGUUUCGAUGGGCAAGGCUUCCGUUUCGUGUGGUUUUAGCAGGUCUUCUAUUCAGGGGUAAGUGGGCGCUUGUGAGUGCGUCGCAUCCGUAUACGAUGGUGGUGUGGACCGAGUAACGGUCCUUCUUGUCGGGUUAUGAAGUCUUGAGGUUCUUGGACGUUAUCGGUUGGCGGGCGUGUGCAGCAACGAUAGGUUGUGGUGUAUUGGGUUCUAGAGGUGGAGGUUAUCGGGUGGCAAUCUUUGAUGUGCAGCGAUAAUUCCCGGUCAUUGGCAUCCUUAUGUUUUGAAAUCUGCUGAGUUGUUUUGCUUAAUAUCCUAGUGUAGUUAUUAAUGGAUUUCCUUUGCUUAGUUGUGGAUUGAGUUCUUAUCGCUUGUGUUUGUAAGUCGCCCCUGUGUGGGUUCUAGCUGCCGCCUCCUGUGGGCUCUUGUGUCUGAAGAAUGUUCGAUUUUCCGUCAGUUUUUGUAUUUUAAUUAGUAUUUUUCUAUGGAAUAUGAAUUUAAAUUUGGGGGAAAAAAAAGCACACACAUAUGUUAGAUGAAACUGGUAAAAGAGUCAAUGUUUGGAGUGCCAAUGAAAAUUAAAAAAAAAAUACAUUGUUUAGUAAUUCUCCGUCCAUUCCACAAUCAUCGUAUUGUAUAUCACAAUUUUUUUCUUUCAGAAUUAAGGUACCAAUAAACAUGUCAAAUAAUUUACCAAACAAAAUGGGGUCAUUUGAAUUUCCAUAAGAAAGCAUGUAAAAUUAUUACCUCCUGGGCCAUAUAUUGAGUAGUUACACAUUAAAAGGAAAUUAUUUUCGGUACGAUAUCCUGACUUAACCGUAUUUUUAUAAAUUUUUUAAUUAUGUAGUAUUAGAGAGUAAGAAUACUAUUAUGUUUAUAUUAUUGUGUUGUUAUUUGGUGGAUUACAUGAAGUUGUAUAUAGCCAUGAUAUCUUGUUAUGUUUUUGGGUUUCCAACUUAAACCCAAGUGGUCAUAAGCGGAUUGACUGAAGUUGAUUAUAUAUUAGUGUUGGUCUCUGUAAACUUUCGGGGUGGGAUUUAAAAACAUCCUCUCGAGGUGUGGUUUAUAUUUGAUUUGUGUCCCAUUUUAGGACUGAUAAUAAACCUUUUUGGCCACCAUGCUUGAAUCAACAAAUGAGGCUC